rnacentral:rRNA from 1 species
GACUCUCGGGCAACGGAUAUCUCGGCUCUCGCAUCGAUGAAGAACGUAGCGAAAUGCGAUACUUGGUGUGAAUUGCAGAAUCCGUGAACCAUCGAGUCUUUGAACGCAAGUUGCGCCCGAAGCCGUUAGGCCGAGGGCACGUCUGCCUGGGCGUCA